rnacentral:rRNA from 2 species
CCUGGAACGAGUGUUAUACCCGCAUAACACCUUUGGCCCGCAGGUCCGGGCUUGAAAGAUGGUUCGGGUUUCACUUUUGGAAGGUCCCCGGGGUAUUAGCUAGAUGNUGGGUAACGGCUCACCAUGGCAAUGUACGUAGCCGCCUGAAGAGGAAUCGGCCACAUUGGACUGAGCACGGCCCAAAUUCCUACGGGAGGCACAGUAGGGAUCUUCCCCAAUUGGACGAAAUCUGAUGGAGCAACGCCGCGUGAGUGAAGAAGGGUUUCGGCUCGUAAAACUCUGUUGUUAAAGAAGAACAUAUCUGAGAGUAACUGUUCAGGUAUUGACGGUAUUUAACCAGAAAGCCACGGCUAACUACGUGCCAGCAGCCGCGGUAAUACGUAGGUGGCAAGCGUUGUCCGGAUUUAUUGGGCGUAAAGCGAGCGCAGGCGGUUUUUUAAGUCUGAUGUGAAAGCCUUCGGCUCAACCGAAGAAGUGCAUCGGAAACUGGGAAACUUGAGUGCAGAAGAGGACAGUGGAACUCCAUGUGUAGCGGUGAAAUGCGUAGAUAUAUGGAAGAACACCAGUGGCGAAGGCGGCUGUCUGGUCUGUAACUGACGCUGAGGCUCGAAAGUAUGGGUAGCAAACAGGAUUAGAUACCCUGGUAGUCCAUACCGUAAACGAUGAAUGCUAAGUGUUGGAGGGUUUCCGCCCUUCAGUGCUGCAGCUAACGCAUUAAGCAUUCCGCCUGGGGAGUACGGCCGCAAGGCUGAAACUCAAAGGAAUUGACGGGGGCCCGCACAAGCGGUGGAGCAUGUGGUUUAAUUCGAAGCUACGCGAAGAACCUUACCAGGUCUUGACAUACUAUGCAAAUCUAAGAGAUUAGACGUUCCCUUCGGGGACAUGGAUACAGGUGGUGCAUGGUUGUCGUCAGCUCGUGUCGUGAGAUGUUGGGUUAAGUCCCGCAACGAGCGCAACCCUUAUUAUCAGUUGCCAGCAUUAAGUUGGGCACUCUGGUGAGACUGCCGGUGACAAACCGGAGGAAGGUGGGGAUGACGUCAAAUCAUCAUGCCCCUUAUGACCUGGGCUACACACGUGCUACAAUGGAUGGUACAACGAGUUGCGAACUCGCGAGAGUAAGCUAAUCUCUUAAAGCCAUUCUCAGUUCGGAUUGUAGGCUGCAACUCGCCUACAUGAAGUCGGAAUCGCUAGUAAUCGCGGAUCAGCAUGCCGCGGUGAAUACGUUCCCGGGCCUUGUACACACCGCCCGUCACACCAUGAGAGUUUGUAACACCCAAAGUCGGUGGGGUAACCUUUUAGGAACCAGCCGCCUAAGGGGACCA